rnacentral:lncRNA from 1 species
GUUUAUUUCAAAAUACUUACAUUUUGUCAGAGAAAAAACUACCGUAUAGCCUAAACCUUAAUCUGAGCAGGGGUUUUAAGCCUAAACAAAACCAGUUUUAAUGCUGGAAUUAGAGAUUUGAUUAAUUUAUGGAAUUUCGCCGCACAGGUGAAGCGUGUGUUGGGAUUCGGAGAGAAGAUUCAUCCUAUGACUUUGAGCUGCCCAACGCUGUAGCCGUGAACAUGCAAAACCUUGCGUGUGAUGCAGAAUGGACCAUUGAUCAAAUCUACACAGCAAUCCUGGAUGGAAAUUCAAGUUACUUUUCUCAUCCCUUCAAAAAAUUAACUCGUUAUGGAAUCAGUGCAUCUUACUGUCCAGCUUCAGUCAGAUUCCACGUCUCUUGCCCCAAAUACACAAAGACCCUCAAUUGUUCUUGCACCAAUGCCACAGACAGCAAUUCCAUUUUUCGCACAAUUCUGCCAUCUAGAGAAACCUCCUCCUCUGCCAUGAAAACUGGUUUAUUAAAGAGACAACACUACGGCUGCACCAUUGCUGUUGCUUCCACUUUUGUCCCAGUACUUGUCAUUUUGGUGUACAUCAUCUGCAGGACAAACAGGUAUUUAACAUACAUUUUGUAAUAAUGCCAUAUGCACA